rnacentral:rRNA from 1 species
GAGUUUGAUUAUGGCUCAGGAUGAACGCUAGCGGCAGGCCUAACACAUGCAAGUCGAGGGGCAGCAUUUCUUUUCGGAGAAGAUGGCGACCGGCGCACGGGUGCGUAACGCGUAUGCAACCUACCCAUUACAGGAGGGGAGCCCGGGGGGGCUCGGAUUAAUACUCCAUGGUACUAUUUGAUGGCAUCUGAAGAUAGUUAAAGAUUCAUUGGUAAUGGAUGGGCAUGCGUCUGAUUAGCUAGUUGGUGAGGUAACGGCUCACCAAGGCGACGAUCAGUAGCGGGUCUGAGAGGAUGAUCCGCCACACUGGAACUGAGACACGGUCCAGACUCCUACGGGAGGCAGCAGUGAGGAAUAUUGGUCAAUGGGGGAGACCCUGAACCAGCCAUGCCGCGUGCAGGAAGACGGCCUUCUGGGUUGUAAACUGCUUUUAUAUAGGAACAAAGGUCCCAUGCGUGGGAAGUUGAGUGUACUAUAUGAAUAAGCACCGGCUAACUCCGUGCCAGCAGCCGCGGUAAUACGGAGGGUGCGAGCGUUGUCCGGAUUUAUUGGGUUUAAAGGGUGCGUAGGCGGUAUGUUAAGUCAGUGGUGAAAUCUCUCCGCUCAACGGGGAAACUGCCAUUGAUACUGGCGUACUUGAGUGUAGCUGAGGCAGGCGGAAUUGAUGGUGUAGCGGUGAAAUGCAUAGAUAUCAUCAAGAACAUCGAUAGAGAAGUCAGCUUGCUAAACUACAACUGACGCUGAGGCACGAAAGCGUGGGGAGCGAACAGGAUUAGAUACCCCUGGUAGUCCCACCGCCUG